rnacentral:rRNA from 1 species
CCUACGGGAGGCAGCAGUGAGGAAUAUUGGUCAAUGGACGAGAGUCUGAACCAGCCAAGUAGCGUGAAGGAUGACUGCCCUAUGGGUUGUAAACUUCUUUUAUAUGGGAAUAAAAUGUUCCACGUGUGGGAUUUUGUCUGUACCAUAUGAAUAAGGAUCGGCUAACUCCGGGCCAGCAGCCGCGGUAAUACGGAGGAUCCGAGCGUUAUCCGGAUUUAUUGGGUUUAAAGGGAGCGUAGGUGGAUUGUUAAGUCAGUUGUGAAAGUUUGCGGCUCAACCGUAAAAUUGCAGUUGAAACUGGCAGUCUUGAGUACAGUAGAGGUGAGCGGAAUUCGUGGUGUAGCGGUGAAAUGCUGAGAUAUCACGAAGAACUCCGAUUGCGAAGGCAGUUCACUGGACUGCAACUGACACUGAGGCUCGAAAGUGUGGGUAUCAAACAGGAUUAGAUACCCGAGUAGUC